rnacentral:tRNA from 1 species
GGUGGGAUGGCUGAGCGGUCUAAAGCGCACGCUUGGAGAGCGUGUGUACCGAAAGGUACCCAGGGUUCGAAUCCCUGUCCCACCGCCA